rnacentral:lncRNA from 1 species
CCUCUUCCUGUUCCUCAGACCUUCCAUAGCUAGGCUUCCUGUAACUCCCUUCCUCCUGAUCCUCAGAUCUUCCAUAGCUAGGCUUAAUGUAACUCUCCACCUGUUCCUCAGACCCUCCAUAACUUGGUUUCCUGUAACUACCUUCCUCCUGAUCCUCAGAUCUCCCAUAGCUAGGCUUCCUGUAACCUUCCUCUUGAUCCUCAGAUCUCCCAUAGCUAGGCUUCCUGUAACCUUCCUCUUGUUCCUCAGAUCUUCCAUAGCUAGGCUUCCUGUAGCCUUCCUCUUGAUCCUCAGAUCUUCCAUAGCUAGGCUUCCUGUAACUUCCUUCUUCCUGAUCCUCAGAUCUUCCAUAGCUAGGUUUCUUGUAACCUUCCUCUUGUUCCUCAGACCUUCCAUAGCUAGGCUUCCUGUAACCUUCUUCUUGUUCCUCAGACCUACCAUAGCUAGGCUUACGCUCAUACUCAGACUCUGAUCUGCCACCAUAUCCAGAUCCAAGACCCGAUUCAGGUCUCCUCCCAUACUCAACCUCAGUUCUUCCACCACCAGAUCCAUACUCCGAUUGAUUCUCCGUUCUACCACCAUAACUCUGCUCAGGUCUCCGACCAUACUCCGUCUCAGUUUCACCACCAUAUCCAGAUUCAGGCCUCCUACCAUACUCACUCUCCGUCUGACCACCAUAACCAGAUCCAGAUCCAUAACCAGGAUUCGGCCUCUCACCUUGAACAUGACCGCCACCACCUGAAUCGGGUCGAAAUGCGGGUCGUGGCUUGGGUCGAGAAUAGCUACUGUACUCUGUGUUGAG